rnacentral:tRNA from 1 species
AGUAAAGUCAGCUAAUUAAGCUUUUGGGCCCAUGACCCAAACAUGUUGGAUAAUACCCUUCCUUUACUG